AGCGCCUCAGCUCGUGAGCUCGUGGGUGUCCCAGCGUUCAAAGCCAGUUUCCAAUCCAGUGGGACAAAGGGUCAACUUCUCGACCUCAUGAAGCGAAUUGUCACCGAGCACGGAAGCCGGCAGAUGGGAACCCUCCAAGAUGGCGGCGUCUGAUAAGGGCACUCGACGGCCGCUGCGCGUCGCCCUUGUCGCCGCACGCCAUUGGUGGAGCGGAUAUGCAUGCGCGCAUAUUAAGUGGCGCUAAGUACACGGUCGCCCUUCAAUGGAGGGACGAGGUUCGUCAACAAUGGCACACGGAGGAAACCUUAAAGACUGUCCGACAACAACCAGAGCUCCACCAUCACAAGAGAUGAACGUUCACAGAAGCAGUGUCACCCGUAAGGUGCAGGGCCACAGACCAUAUAUUUGUGAAGCGCAAUACGAAAGCAUCAGACAGCACUGACCACCAGCUAAUCGCCUUCCGUAUCGACACUGGAAGGCGAACAGAGUUCACAUGAAAGGACAGGCUCUCCUGGAUGUUUUCCCUGGGCUCUCCUUAGACUCUCUAAAGUAAAUGUCGACACCCUUCCCCGUGAAGUAGAUCCUGCACGCACGAUCUCCCAGGAGCAACCUGCGCGACUGGAAAAUCUCUCGGCUUUGAAACUGUGCAAUAUACGCAGUAUCAACUCUGCAACCAAUCAGAUUGACCCAACGAACUGUCUUCGAUCGAACAACACGCAUCAGCAGCCGA